GACGAACGCUGGCGGCGUGCUUAACACAUGCAAGUCGAACGGUAAGGCCCUUCGGGGUACACGAGUGGCGAACGGGUGAGUAACACGUGGGUGAUCUGCCCUGCACUUCGGGAUAAGCCUGGGAAACUGGGUCUAAUACCGGAUAGGACCACUGCCUGCAUGGGUGGUGGUGGAAAGCUUUUGCGGUGUGGGAUGGGCCCGCGGCCUAUCAGCUUGUUGGUGGGGUGAUGGCCUACCAAGGCGACGACGGGUAGCCGGCCUGAGAGGGUGACCGGCCACACUGGGAGUGAGGUACGGCCCAGACUCCUACGGGAGGCAGCAGUGGGGAAUAUUGCACAAUGGGCGCAAGCCGGAUGCAGCGACGCCGCGUGAGGGAUGACGGCCUUCGGGUUGUAAACCUCUUUCAGCACCGACGAAGCGCAAGUGACGGUAGGUGCAGAAGAAGGACUGGCCAACUACGUGCCAGCAGCCGCAGUAA
rnacentral:rRNA from 1 species